GUCAGACCCUAAUCCAUUCCCUCCCCUUAAAUCUUGAGAAACUAUUUCCCAUAAUUUAUUUAUUGAAUGAAUGAAUAAUCGAUCGAUCGAUCGAUCGAUCUUGCACGCGACUAAUUGACAUGGCAUUCCCUCCUCAUCAUCAUGGUUUCAUCUUCCAUUCUCAAGAAGACAAUGGCCACCUUCCCUCUCCUUCCUCUCUCAACUCCCUCCCCUCUUCGUGUCCUCCUCAGCUCUUCCCAGGUGCUGGGGGAAAUUUCAUGAUGAGGAGAUCGAUGUCCUUUUCUGGGCUGGAAAAGCGUGAAGAAGUGCAUGGAGAUGAUGACUUGUCUGAUGAUGGAUCACAAAUAGGAGAGAAGAAGAAGAGGCUCAACUUGGAGCAGGUUAAGGCACUUGAGAAGAGCUUUGAGAUGGGGAAAAAGCUUGAGCCUGAGAGGAAAAUGCAGUUGGCCAAGGCUUUAGGACUCCGGCCAAGGCAGAUAGCUAUAUGGUUUCAGAACAGGAGGGCUAGGUGGAAGACUAAACAGUUGGAGAAAGACUAUGAAGUCUUGAAGAAACAGUUUGAUUCACUUAAAGCUGACAAUGAUGCCCUUCAUGCCCAGAAUAAGAAACUUCAUGCAGAGUUAAUGGCUCUAAGAAGUACAGAGUCAAACUGUAUUGAAGUUAACCCCAAGAAAGAAACAGAUAAGGGUUCUUGGAGCAAUGCAAGUGAGAACAGUCGUGAUGCUAAUUUAGAUAUCUCAAGAACUCCAGUAGCAACCAGCCCAAUCUCUAAUUCCCAACUAAGCACUAAGCAGUUCUUCUCCACAUCCAUCAGGCCUACAAGUAUGACUCAACUGCUCCAAAUCUCAUCAUCAAGACCAGACCUUGGCCUGAAAGUUGAUCAAUUGGUUCAAGAAGAAAAUUUCUGCAACAUGUUCAAUGGCAUGGAAGAGCAGCAAGGAUUUUGGUCAUGGCAAGAGCAGCAUGCACCAUUUUCACUGAACCAAACCCAAUUCUCCAAUAAUUAACACCCAUCAAUUAUGGUUUAGCUAUGCUUAAGUGAGAUUAAUUAAUUAAGAAGAAAUUUAAUUAGGAUUUUUUUCCCCUACCAAUUUCAGUUCUUUCUGUUCCUUUUUUGGGUUAAGCGUAGAGAAUGGUGUAUAAAGAAGAGAAGCGAACAAAUUUGAUUAUCAUCACAAUGGCCCCAAAGUCAGUGAGGGGGAAUUUGGUAGGUCUGAAUGAAUGGAACAAUUUCAUCCCCAUACUUUGAUAUAUAUUUUGCUAGGUUGGUUGAAUCUCAGAGAGAGAGAGAGAGAGA
rnacentral:misc_RNA from 1 species